rnacentral:rRNA from 1 species
GAUGAACGCUGGCGGCGUGCCUAAUACAUGCAAGUCGAACGAAACUUCUUUAUCACCGAUUGCUUGCACUCACCGAUAAAGGGUUGAGUGACGAACGGGUGAGUAACACGUGAGCAACCUGCCCAUAAGAGGGGGAUAACACUUUGAAGCAUGUGCUAAUACCGCAUAACCAUCGUUACUGCAUGGUACCUAUGUAAAAGGUGGUUAUACUACCGCUUUUGGAUGGGCCCGCGGCGCAUUAGCUAGUUGGUAGGGUAAAGGCUUACCAAGGCAAAGAUGCGUAGCCGAACUGAGAGGUUGAUCGGCCAAAUUGGGACUGAGACACGGCCCAAACUCCUACGGGAGGCAGCAGUAGGGAAUCUUCCACAAUGGGCGAAAGCCUGAUGGAGCAACGCCGCGUGGGUGAAGAAGGUCUUCGGAUCGUAAAACCCUGUUGUUAGGGAAGAAAGUGAGUGAGAGUAACUGUUCACGUUUUGACGGUAUCUAACCAGAAAGCCACGGCUAACUACGUG